GCGGGAAUGGCGGAAUUGGCAGACGCGCCAGGUUGAGGGCCUGGUGGUAGAAAUACCGUGCAGGUUCAAGUCCUGUUUCCCGCAC
rnacentral:tRNA from 1 species